UGGCGGUAAAUUAUUUUUUAGAGGAACCUGUUCUUUAAUUGAUACCGCACAUGAUUUUUAGCCUUACUUAAGUUUAUAUACCUUUGUAAUAAAAAUUAAGCUGCAGCUUAAUUUUAAAAUAAUUACUUAUUAUUUAUACAAAUCAAGGUUUAGUUUAUAGUAAGGGAGAAAUGGGUUACUGUUUUAUUAAUUUAUAGUGGGUAAAAAAGGAUUUAAAAGUAAUUAAUUAGAACUUAUGAAUAAAUUCUUAAUUU
rnacentral:rRNA from 1 species